rnacentral:lncRNA from 1 species
UCAAAAUGGCCCAAAGCCAAUACAUAAACAAGUUUACAAUCUUGACAAAACGGUAGGUUGACCUAAACUUCACCUACUACCACUAAUACACAUGGUAACUUGUGCUAAUUAGCUUGAACAAGGAAACAAAGCUGAUUUAUCAGCUCAAUCAACAUCAAGAUUACAUCAAGCAUAAACCUAACAUAGUUAUAAAGCAACUAAGUUACAUUACUCUAACUUACAAUUACAAAAUGAAACAUAAACAGCUUGCUGACUAGGUAAACCAGCAGCUUCUGCAUGUAGUGCCUUUGACAGUCUUGGUUGCUGCAUGCUGAUCAUAACUUCAAUACUCCUCCUUGGUUAGCAUGUUGCAAACUCCCAUAUUAGUUCUCAGGCGUUGAAACUUGGAAACACUUAGUGCUUUUGUUAAAAUAUCAGCAAUUUGCUCUUCAGAACUGCAAUGUAUCAGCUUAACAACAUGAGCUUGUUCCAUUUCUCGAACUGCAUGAAGUUUGAUGUUGAAGUGCUUGGUCCUUCCAUGAAAAACAGGAUUCUUUGCAAUAGCAACUGCUGAUUGGUUGUCACACAUUAUCUCAGUUGCUUCCUUUUGCUCAUGAUUGAUAUCUUUCAAAAUUUUUCUAAGCCAUAUGGCUUGAUUGACUGCUGCAGCAGCAGCCACAUAUUCUGCUUCUGCAGUCGACUGAGCCACUACUCCCUGCUUCUUUGAGCUCCAGCAAAUCAUAGCAGAGCCUAUGUUGAAUGCAUAACCUGUAGUGCUCUUCAUGUCAUCCAAGGAACCAGCCCAAUCACUGUCACAAUAUCCAACUAGCUUCAAGUUCUCAGCCUUGAUAAACUGCAUUCCAUAGGACAAAGUUCCUUUGAUGUAUCUUAGAACCCUUUUUGCAGCUCUAAAAUGACUUUCAUUUGAACAAUGCAUAAACCUCGAGAGUAGACUCACAGCAUACAUUAUGUCAGGUCUAGUAGCAGUCAAAUACAACAAACAUCCAACUAGACUUCGAUAGGUUGUUUCACAAACCUUUUCAUGCUUGUCUUGGCUCGAGAGUUUUUCUCCAACAGCAACUGGUGUGCUGGUUGCUUUGCAAUUCUCCAUUGAGAAUUUGUUGAGAACCUUCAUAGCAAAGGUCUUUUGACUUAGCCAAAUCCCAUUCUUGGCUUGGGUUACUUCCAUGCCUAAGAAGUAAGACAUCAAUCCCAAGUCUGACAUUUCAAAGUGCUGUUGCAUUUUGACCUUAAAGCUGCUUAGCAUCUCAUGAUCUCCUCCUGUCACCAAUAGGUCAUCGACAUAUAUUGAGACAAUGAGCUGAAUUUCAGCACUAGUUGAUUUUACAUACAGAGUUGGCUCGCUAAGACUUCUUUCAAAUCCUUGACUGGUCAGAUAGCCAUCUAUUCUGCUAUACCAGGCCCUUGGAGCCUGUUUCAAGCCAUACAAGGCUUUGUUGAGCUUGUACACCAUUUCUUCCUUGCCAGACACCUUGAAACCUUGAGGUUGCUCCACAUAAAUCUCCUCUUCAAGGAAUCCAUUCAGAAAUGCUGAUUUUACAUCAAGUUGGUGUAUCAGCCACUGUUUUUGUGCUGCUAAGGCAACUAGCAGUCUGAUAGUGUCUAGCCUGGCCACUGGUGCAAAGGUUUCCAGGUAGUCUGAUCCAUACCUUUGACUGAAACCUUUCACAACCAAUCUAGCCUUUAACUUGUUUAGGCUACCAUCAGCAUUGUUCUUUACUCGAUAAACCCAUUUGACACCAAUAAUCUUCCUGUUUGUUGGUUUAUCAACCAGACUCCAGGUCUGAUUCUUUUCAAUCAUUCUGAUUUCUUCAAUCAUUGCUUGCUUCCAGUCCUCCUGGUUUUGUGCUUCUUCAAAGCAACCUGGUUCAAUAGUAGCCAGUUGUGCUCUUUCAUAAACAUCAACCAGUGAUCGAGUGCCUCUGAUUGGAACAUCAUCUACAUCCAUUUCAGGUGUGUUUUCAUCAUUUUCAACUUGAUCCACUGCGAGAUCUUCAGCCACUGCCUCUGGUUCAGCCUUCUCCCAAUUCCAGUGUCCUUUUUCAUUGAAAACAACAUCCCUGCUAACCAAUAUCUUGUUUGUAGCAGGUUCUAGGAUUCUGUAGCCCUUCUUAACCAAGCUAUAGCCGAUCAGGAUGCCUGCUUGAGCUCUUUUAUCUAGCUUGCUUCUCUUCUCAGCUGGAACUUGUGUGUAGCACAGACAACCAAAGGUUCUGAGAUGAGCCAGUGAUGGCUUAAACCCAAACCAGGCUUCAAAUGGAGUCUUUUCAGCCAGAGCCUUGGUUGGGAGCCUGUUUUGGAGAUAGACUGCUGUGUUAACAGCUUCAGCCCACAGAGUUUUGGGCAAAUUCUUCUCAAACAGAAGACAUCUUGCCAUGUUCAUCAAGCUUCUGUUUUUCCUUUCACUGACCCCAUUCUGUUGGGGUGUAUACACAUUAGUCAACUGGUGUUUGAUACCUGCUUCUUCACAGUAGGCUUGGAACUGAGCUGAGGUGUACUCAGUUCCAUUAUCUGACCUCAUUGCUCUAAGUUUGCAACCAGACUCAGUUUCAACAGCAGCUUUAUACUUCAGGAACACAGAUGAAACUUCUGACUUCUGUUUUAAAAAAUAAAUCCAGCAGUAUCUUGUUAAGUCAUCAAUAAAUAAAAUAAAGUACCUGCUUCCUUUGAGAGACUCAGUCUUCAUUGGUCCACACACAUCUGUAUGCACAAGCUGAAGCUUCUCUGAUGCUCUCCAUGUUGUGCUUGCUGGAAAUGGCAAUCUUGCCAAUUUUCCUUGUUGACAUAUCUCACAGAGCUCAUCAUUCUUCACUGAAUCGAUGAAAUUUUCUGCCAGUCCUUCAUUGACCAUGCGAGCUAUGGAUUUGUAGUUUGCAUGUCCAAGCCUCUGGUGCCAGAGUCUCGAGUCAUCAGUGGAGGCUAUGCAGGCUGAAUGUGAGUCAUUUGGCCAGUCUACUUCAAAACAUUUAUCAGUCAUGGUGACUGUUAUGAGGUUUGAUCCACUUGGAUCAGAAAUUUGACAUUCUUUCUCCUUGAAAACAACUGAGUAACCUUUCUCAAGUAGUUGACUUAUACUGAGAAGGUUCCUAUCGAUUUCAGGUACCAAAAGUACAUUUGAAAUGAUUUUGUCACCUGUAGAGGUAUGAAUCAGCACAUCUCCUCUUCCUUCAGCAUUGAUUAACUGACCAUUUCCAAUUUUUACUUUGGUUUUGCAGGUUCUGUCCAGGGUUUUGAAGAUAGUUACAUCUGGUGACAUGUGGUUUGUGCACCCACUGUCUAGAAGCCAGCCCUUUGAACCCUUUUUGUGAUCUGCUGCACAUGACACAGCAAAAACAUGUUCUUCUUGAUCACUGCUUUCUUCAGCUACUCGAGCUUCUACUUUUUGUUGCUGAAAUUGAUUCUGUCUUGGUUUGCUUCUAUUCUUGCAAACUUUUUCAGCAUGGCCCUUUUUCUUGCAGUGUUGGCAUACUGCAUCUGGUCUAAACCAGCAUCUAUCUUCUGGAUGACCAGCUCUUUUACAAUGUCUGCAGAGUUGGUCACUGCUUCUAGCAGCAUCAGGCUUAGGCCUGUUUUUCCAGAACUUUUUGCCUUUAUGAGUUUUGAUGCUCGAGGCUUCUUUGGCUUGAAAAGCCCCUUCCUGGUGCUCCUCUUGUCUGCUGGCUCUUCUUUGCUCUUGUGCAUACAAGGCAUUGAUUAGCUCAGUUAAGGAGAUAGUUGUCAAGUCCCUUGAGUCUUCGAGGGAUGAAAUUUUAGCUUCAUACCUCUCUGGUAGAGUGGACAUGACUUUCUCAACCAUUCUAGCUUCACUGAAUUGCUCUCCUAGGAGCCUUAUGCUGUUUACAACAGCCAUAAUCCGAUCUGAGUACUGCUUAACUGUUUCUUCCUCUUUCAUUUUGAGAUUUUCGAAAUCUCUUCUCAAGUUGAGCAGCUGUUGUUGCCUUGUUUUCUCAGUCCCCUGAAAUUCUUCUUUCAGCUUGUCCCAAGCCUCCUUUGGUGUUUCACAGGCCAUGAUCCUCAUAAAGAUCACAUCUGUCACACAAUUCUGUAUGCAUGACAUGGCCUUGUGCCUUUUUGUUCUUUCAUCAGUGUGUUGCCUUAUUUGAGCAACUGUUGGAUUUGCUCGAAGAGGUGCUGGCUCAGCAUCUGAGUUGACAACUUCCCAUAGGUCAAAUGCCUGCAGGUAAGUCCUCAUCUUAACUGCCCAAAUGUUGAAGCCCUCUCCAUUGAAGACAGGUGGUGAAGCUGGUGAAAAACCUGAUGAUGCCAUCGUUUUGAUGUUGAACUACAACAGGUCCUCUAAGAAUACGGCUCUAGAUACCAAUUGUUGGAGCAAUAGGCAGCAGCAGCAAGCUUAAGCAGAAUGCUUGUUUUGCAAGUCUCGUGACUUGUAGGAGAAACAAAGCAGAAAACUCAAAUGGAUUUUAAGCAAAACUAAAAAUGGAGAGCAUAUGGAUGAAAACUUGUUGAAUUCAUUCAUUUGAAAAUCAAAAUGGCCCAAAGCCAAUACAUAAACAAGUUUACAAUCUUGACAAAACGGUAGGUUGACCUAAACUUCACCUACUACCACUAAUACACAUGGUAACUUGUGCUAAUUAGCUUGAACAAGGAAACAAAGCUGAUUUAUCAGCUCAAUCAACAUCAAGAUUACAUCAAGCAUAAACCUAACAUAGUUAUAAAGCAACUAAGUUACAUUACUCUAACUUACAAUUACAAAAUGAAACAUAAACAGCUUGCUGACUAGGUAAACCAGCAGCUUCUGCAUGUAGUGCCUUUGACAGUCUUGGUUGCUGCAUGCUGAUCAUAACUUCAAUACAAACUCAUUUCUUAAUUAAGAAAUAUAAUUACGUAAAAAAGUUGGGUUAAGUUUUUUGAGUAGUUGUUCAAGUGAUUAGUUAUUAAUAAAAUCAUUAGAGAAAAAACAUAUUGUAACAUAUUCAAUAAAGUUGCAAAC